rnacentral:lncRNA from 1 species
AUGUUCUCUGCAGGGAAGACAGUUAUUUGCUAUUUUGUAUUUCUUCUUAGAUUGCUAUCAAGGGAACUAAGAGAGGAUGUAGGCAUAUUGUUAAUGACUCUCUUCAGGCUGUAUUUGAGAAAACACGAAUGAGAAAGGAGGAUAAGUGAUGUGGGUAGCUUGGUGUGUUCUUUGGGAUCUUCGGAGUUGAUGCAAUAUCCUACUGAUUUCCAUCCUAACAGUUACUGGAAGGUAUUUAUUUGUUUUUCCUGAUGUUUGUGGUGCCAGCUUUCCACCUAGUCAACGUAGCAGAGCUCAUGGCUUGCUAUAUUUCUCCUUGCAUGCCCUAACUGGGUUCCUGUUACCUGGUUAACUGGGUGCUUGUUUUCUUACCCUUGUGACCCGGUCUUUGUCUUGCCAUGGCCUUAAUAAAGAAAGGCUAGUUAGUCUAAACA